rnacentral:rRNA from 1 species
UACGGAGGGGGCUAGCGUUGUUCGGAAUUACUGGGCGUAAAGCGCACGUAGGCGGCUUUGUAAGUUAGAGGUGAAAGCCCAGGGCUUAACCCGUGGAAUUGCCUUUAAGACUGCAUCGCUAGAAUCGUGGAGAGGUGAGUGGAAUUCCGAGUGUAGAGGUGAAAUUCGUAGAUAUUCGGAAGAACACCAGUGGCGAAGGCGACUCACUGGACACGUAUUGACGCUGAGGUGCG